UUCAUCUUAGAAUUCUUUGAGGUUUCAGAUCAGUAGGGUUUUCUGGCCUAGAAGAAGAUCGCUCUCCAGAUCUGGCCGUCAAAAUAUAGUUUAAUUUAGUCUGGUCUUUUUAUUUCAUUUGUUUUUGUUAAUUAGGAAAUUAAUCUUUCUGUCGUUAUUUUUUAAAAUAUUAAACGCUUCACUGUCUUGUUGACGGGAUUGAUAAAGGUUCCUGAUCAAUUCGUAACCAUGAAGCGAAAUAGAAAAUCCACACUCAGCUUACUCCUUGUUCUCUUCUAUAAUGCAAUCUUCACUUGCAUUAUACUUUUGGAUGGUUGAGAACAUUUAUUUUCCUUUUAAUCCUGCUUUUAAUCUAAUAUCAUCAGUGUGUGAAGGCUUCACUGUCUUGUUGACGGGAUAGGUUAAAGUUUCCGAUCAAUUCGUAACCAUGAAGCAAAAUAGAAUUAAUAUACACUCAGCUUAACCCUUAUUCUAUUUUGUAAUGCAAUUUACAUUACAGCUUUGGGUGGCUGAGCACAUUGAACAUUGCACAUCCCUUUUUGUUCUCUCUAAAUUUCACGUUUAUAUGCAUUUGCUGAUCUAAUAUCUUAGGUCUUGAUAUUCUCUUGGUAAAUUGAGGUUCUUCCUUUUUCUUUUUUUCUUUCUGUUCUUUUGUCUAGAGAAUGGACGUACUGACAACGUCAUAAAACAUAACUUAUGUACUACCUGAAUUGUUGAACCACAAAAUCCUUGGGACGUUUUUUAACCCCAAAAUGUGACAAGUCAUCGGGUCAAGGUGUUAUAGGAAAAUAGGGAUGUGAAUGGGAAAUGAAAGAGACACCUUUUGGAUUGCACCUUGUAUACGGUUAUACUCGCAUGCCUUCGAUUAUAGGCUCGAGGGACCGAGUUUAGGCGAGGUCGAGUUCGAGCUCGAGGGACCAGACCCGAGUUCGAAGAUAGAGCAAUGCGUACAGAGGCCGAGUAUGCUCGACCUCCAAAUACCAUUAUGAAUUUGUAACAGAAUGAGCUAGAUUCCUACCACGUUCCCGUGAUCAUGGCGCAAAUUCCGGAAUAGGAUUGUACAAUUCCGUACUAGUCGGUUAGACAACUGUAUCAAGAAUAUUCCUUACUGUAAAUAGAA